rnacentral:rRNA from 1 species
GAACGCGAAGAACCUUACCCGGGCUUGAACUGCAGCUGAACGAUUCAGAGAUGAUGAGGCCCUUCGGGGCAGCUGUGGAGGUGCUGCAUGGUUGUCGUCAGCUCGUGCCGUGAGGUGUCGGCUUAAGUGCCAUAACGAGCGCAACCCCUUUUCUUAGUUGCCAUCAGGUAAUGCUGGGCACUCUGGGAAUACUGCCACCGUAAGGUGUGAGGAAGGUGGGGAUGACGUCAAAUCAGCACGGCCCUUACGUCCGGGGCUACACACGUGUUACAAUGGCGCAUACAGAAUGUUGGUUUCAUGCAAAUGAGAUCUAAUCUUCAAAGUGCGUCUCAGUUCGGACUGGGGUCUGCAACCCGACCCCACGAAGCUGGAUUCGCUAGUAAUCGCGCAUCAGCCAUGGCGCGGUGAAUACGUUCCCGGGUCUUGUACACACC